GAUAGAUGGAUUUGUAAACCCCGGAGCGAGAUUCUGCCUGCCGAAGUCGCUGCUGUGUGGAGACCAUCAGGGUGAAGCCCCUGCCACCAUGUCUGACCAGGAGGCAAAACCUUUGACUGAGGAUUUGGGAGAUAAGAAAGAAGGAGAAUACAUCAAAUUCAAAGUCAUUGGACAGGAUAGCAGUGAGAUUCACUUCAAGGUGAAAAUGACAACACAUCUCAAGAAACUCAAAGUAUCAUAUUGUCAAAGACAGGGAGUUCCAAUGAAUUCACUCAGGUUUCUCUCUGAAGGUCAGAGUAUUGCUGAUAAUCACAGUCCAAAAGAACUGGGAAUGGAGGAAGAAGAUGUGAUUGAAGUUUAUCAGGAACAAACGGGGGGUCAUUCAACAGUUUAGUUUUAAAAUCUGAGGGUCUUGACCAAAAGAAGAGAAAUAUCAGGUUGGAGUCAUGAUGACAUACGUUGAGAGGAAUGACUAACUCCAAAGAUGGCUUCACUGAAAAGAUAAAGCAUUUUAAGAUUAAAAUAAAAUUCUUGCCAGAAGAUCCCAGAAAAGUUCUACAUUUCAUUAGCAAUUAAUAAAGUUAUUCAUGCAGAAGUGUAUACAACAGAACACUGCUCUUUUUGAUUUUAUUUGUAAUUUUUGACCUGGGAUAUGGGUUUUAAAUGGGCAUUGUCUGUAUCACCUUCAUUAAAAUAAACAAAAUAUUUUUACAAA